GUCUUUUUGAAUAUAAUUUAAAGUCUGACCUGCCCAAUGAGUGUUUGAAUGGCCGCGGUAAUUUGACCGUGCAAAGGUAGCAUAAUCAUUAGUUUUUUAAUUGAAAGCUGGAAUGAACGGUUGGACGAGAAAAUAACUGUCUCAAUUUAAUUGAAUAUAGAAUUUUAUAUGUAAGUAAAAAAGCUUACAUGAUUUUAAAAGACGAGAAGACCCUAUAGAGUUUUAUAUUUUACUAUAUUAAUUAUUUUUAGUAUGUUUACAUUUUUUAUAUAGUAAUAUAUUUUGCUGGGGCAGCAGGAAAAUUAAAUAAACUUUUUUUUAUUAAUAAAACAUUGAUUUAUGAUUGUAUGAUCCAUUUUUUAUGAUUAUAAGAUUAAAUUACCUUAGGGAUAACAGCGUAAUUUUUUUUUAGAGUUCUUAUCGAAAAAAGAGUUUGCGACCUCGAUGUUGGAUUAAAAUUAACUUUUGGUGUAGGGGCUAAAAGGUUAGGUCUGUUCGACCUUUAAAAUUUUACA
rnacentral:rRNA from 1 species